rnacentral:rRNA from 1 species
AGCAGCCGCGGUAAUUCCAGCUCCAAUAGCGUAUAUUAAAGUUGUUACAGUUAAAAAGCUCGUAGUUGAAUUUCGGGGUCAGCAAGUUGGUCGUGCCACUGGUAUGUACUGGCUUUGCUGAUUCCUCCUUCUUGUAGAACCGUAAUGCCAUUAAGUUGGUGUUGCGGGAAAACAGGACUGUUACUUUGAAAAAAUUAGAGUGUUUAAAGCAGGCUAACGCUUGAAUACAUUAGCAUGGAAUAAUGAAAUAGGACGACGAUCCUAUUUUGUUGGUUUCUAGGAUUGACGUAAUGAUUAAUAGGGAUAGUUGGGGGCAUUAGUAUUCAAUUGUCAGAGGUGAAAUUCUUGGAUUUAUUGAAGACUGACUACUGCGAAAGCAUUUGCCAAGGAUGUUUUCAUUAAUCAAGAACGAAAGUUAGGGGAUCGAAGACGAUCAGAUACCGUCGUAGUCUUAACCAUAAACUAUGCCGACUAGGGAUCGGAUGAUGUUAAUUUUAUAAUGACUCA